UUGGAGGGCAAGUCUGGUGCCAGCAGCCGCGGUAAGUCCAGCUCCAAUAGCGUAUAUUAAAGUUGUUGCAGUUAAAAAGCUCGUAGUUGAAUUUCGGGAUUGACGUGAUGGUCAUGCCUUAAGGGGUAUGAACUGUUACUGUUGAUUUCUCACCUUCUGGAGAAACUUGAUGUCCUUUAUUGUGGGUGUCUUGCGGAUCCAGGACCUUUACCUUGAAAAAAUUAGAGUGUUUAAAGCAGGCAUUUUUGCUCGAAUACAUUAGCAUGGAAUAAUAGAAUAGGACGGCAUGGUUCUAUUUUGUUGGUUUCUAGGAUCACCGUAAUGAUUAAUAGGGAUAGUUGGGGGCAUUAGUAUUCAAUUGUCAGAGGUGAAAUUCUUGGAUUUAUUGAAGACUAACUACUGCGAAAGCAUUUGCCAAGGAUGUUUUCAUUAAUCAAGAACGAAAGUUAGGGGAUCGAAGACGAUCAGAUACCGUCGUAGUCUUAACCAUAAACUAUGCCGACUAGGAAUCAGACGAUGUUAAUUUUUUAAUGACUCGUUUGGCACCUUACGGGAAACCAAAGUGUUUGGGUUC
rnacentral:rRNA from 1 species